CAGCCAGGAGCUGGAUGGGAAGGGGAGCAGCUUGGCACAAAUUACAGGAUGCCUACACUGCAGGUGGUAUCAGCCUCAGGGCCAACCCCACCUCAGGGCUAAAAGCUGCAUAGAAGAAUGGUGAGACACAAUCAUCUUCAUCUGUGCUUGAGUUUCUUCCUGAUGACUGUUUGGAGUUUCCCUAUGAGCUGGUCUGAGCUUGAAUUUUCAAGUGGACAGCCUCUGAAGAGGAGAUGGUCUCUGGAGCAUACUGGGUCUGCUUCCUCUGCAACCUAGUAAUGGC